CAAGGAGGUACAACUCAGACUUCCUGUGAGGGGAGUGGGGGCUCAGCCGUGGGUGAGUUAUCAUCUAAUCACACGUGUUGAGAAGCUGAGGUGCUGACGACUGUGAAGCCUCUCCUUCAAGACGGGGUUUCUUUUAGGGCAGCAUUAUUACUAAUACCUUCACUCUACAGCUUUUUGCAGUCCUGGGCGCCACGGUGAGCAAACACAUUUCCUGGGCAGCGUGGAAGGCACAUAGCAGAUAGCUAGCAGUUGUGUGCAAAAUGGACUGUGAAAUACACCAUCUUGGAACAGGCACAUAACUGGUCUAAGCAGUCUCCACAGACUGAAGCUGCUAGUCACUGAACCAGGACUUAAGGGCCCGCCUCUGUGCUCAAACAUCCCCCACAAUUACAGAUUAAAAACAACCCUUCCUUCAUGGCUGCAAGUGCAGGGAAACACAGAGUUGCCUGAAGAUCUGAAUGCGGCAUGAAACGUUCUCAGAGUUCAAGGUCUUGGAACAGAUCGUUCAUGAAGCCAGUCUUAUGAUUCACAGUCCUGGGUUCACUCUGUGGUCAAACCAGAAAAAAAUUAGAAGGAAGCCAGGUAUCUGGAAUGAAUUAACUCCCCCUCCCUUCCUCCCGCUUGCCCUCCUUCCCUCUUCUCCUUUCCCUUUCUCUUCCUUUUUCUCUCUCUCCCUCUCUCCUCUUUCUCUUUCUAAUUAUGAGGAGUACUGGAAAUUCAAACAGCUGGACCUUACAAUCAAACCUCUGUAUCUGAAUUUUCCACACCAAUGGUUCCAACGAUAAGGAACAAAAAUCUUUGGGAAGAGCAUCAGGACUGAAGAUGGAAGAAUCUCUACUUGUCCUCAUCCCCGAGGCAUGGCAUUCCCAGGUUCCAGCUGUGACCUCCUCCCUGCAGAUGCAGGCAGAAGAUGGUGUUAUGACAGAGGCGUUUUGCAGUGAUAAUGGGACCAGGUUCAUCUGGAGUUAGUGCUGCCCCUUCCUAAAGGGUUUCUGUUGCUGCGAACAGACAUCAUGACCACAGAAGCACUUAGAAAGGAAACGUUUCAUUUGGGUGGCUUACAGCUCAGAGGUUCAGUCCAUUAUCAUCAUGGUGGGACAUGGCAGCAUGCAGGCAUCAUGGAGGCAGACACGGUGCUGGAGAAGGAACUGAGAGUCCUACAUCUUGAUCCACAGCCUUGGCACAAGAGAUUGGCUAGAAGAACCAGAUUCAUUUGGAGGGCACCUGUCUGCUGUUCUUCACCCUCUGCCUGCUUCCUGUGUAGGAGAGGGGGCUCGGAGCUGGCUAAUGACUGCUUGUGCUGAGUCCAGACACCUCUGAAAGGUACAGAAGACCAUCCUUCAAGGCCAGCUGCCCACCACGGUCACGUGGUCAUUCCAACUCAACACCUUUGGCAACACCGAUGAUUACUAACAAAGUGGCAGGAAAUGGGUUCUAAUUAAAUUUUAGGUUUCUGCAUUUCCUAUUUUCAUAUUGUUAAAUAGCUUCAGAGCUUUAAAUGGAUCCACUGCUCGUGUUUUUUU
rnacentral:lncRNA from 1 species